CGCGAACGGCUCAUUAUAACAGCUAUAAUUUACUUGAUCUUGACUCAUCCUACAUGGAUAACUGUGGUAAUUCUAGAGCUAAUACAUGCACAAAUGCCCUGACCUCACGGAAAGGGUGCAUUUAUUAGAACAAAACCAGGCGGCCUUUUGGUCGUUAUUUGUUGACUCAGAAUAACUCAGCCGAUCGCAUGGUCUUGUACCGGCGACGUGUCUUUCAAGUAUCUGCCUUAUCAACUUUCGAUGUUAGGGUAUCUGCCUAACAUGGUGGUGACGGGUAACGGAGGAUAAGGGUUUGACUCCGGAGAAGGGGCCUGAGAAAUGGCCACUACGUCUAAGGAUGGCAGCAGGCGCGCAAAUUACCCACUCUCGGUGCGAGGAGGUAGUGACGAAAAAUAACGAGACAGUUCUCUACGAGGCCUGUCAUCGGAAUGGGUACAAUUUAAACCCUUUAACGAGUAUCUAUGAGAGGGCAAGUCUGGUGCCAGCAGCCGCGGUAAUUCCAGCU
rnacentral:rRNA from 1 species